CAUGUUUCCAAUGAGCAUAAGAAAUAAAUGGCUCAGGAGAUGGUGUUAGCAUUGGAAAGAACAAAGAAUGAAUCUGAAAAUAAAAGAAAAAAAAAUCCUCGGGAGAAAGAGAAAAUCAGCAAUAUACCCUUUUACAUCAACUCAAAAAUACUUUGGAGGACAUGUUAAGCCAAGAAGGAAAAUAAAAAUGGAAAGAGAACAUGAAAUGGGGGAGGGAGCCUCGCUGAGAAACUGGGGUGUCAAAUGAGCCUGUCAUACAAAUGUGACCCUAUAUAUAAGCAGCUUGUGUUGGCAGUGAUGUAUAAGCUCUGCAAUGUGUUUUGAGGUAGAGUCAAAUGAUUACCUUUGGAAUUUUUUAACAAGUUCAGUGACCACCAAGUAUCAAUGUUUACCAGGCUUACGGUAAAUGGCAUGAAGGCUUAUGAAUGAGAAUCUGUAUAAAUAGACCGACAUAAAAAGCACAUGUUAGAAUUAACAUAAAUUUUAAAGCAACUGUGCUUACCAUGCAUAAAGCACUAAUGACAAGCUGGGAUUUAUUGUGAGGAAACAGGAUAUUAUAAAAAGCUGGGAAACUGGGAAAGUUGAUUUGAAAAAAACAAAGCAAAUCUAGAUUUUGAGCAUUCAAUAACCAAAAUUAAAAACCGUAAAAAUCAUAUUUGGAAGUGGAUUGGGAUAGCAGAUUUCACACAGAGUAGAAAGAACUAGUGAACUAGAAGAUCAUAUCAAGUUAUUCAGAAUGCAACAGUGAGAGGGGUGGUGAUUGACAAUAUAGGAAAGAAAAUACAAGGCAUGACGAUUAUAGAAGAAGGAUCCAGUGUAUGUUUGAAAUGAGGUCUGGAAGUGAAAAUAAAGAAUACAGGGAUAAGACAAGUUUGAAGAGAUGACAACUGUGGACUUGCAAGUAUUAAUGAAUGAUGUCAAGCUGGAAUUAAUACUUCAAUGAUUCCUUUUGAGAACACUUUCAUCCAAUCUUCAUCCCAUUUUUCAGAAAUUUUUGCUCUCACAAUACUCUGUGGUUAACACAGUGCUUAUUAUAC